UACGUAGGAGGCAAGCGUUGUCCGGAUUUAUUGGGUUUAAAGGGUGCGUAGGCGGUUUUGUAAGUAAGUGGUGAAAUAUGUCAGCUUAACUGAGAGGGUGCCAUUGAUACUGCAGAACUUGAGUACAGAUGAGGUAGGCGGAAUUGACGGUGUAGCGGUGAAAUGCUUAGAUAUCGUCAAGAACACCUAUAGCGAAGGCAGCUUACUAGGCUGUAACUGACGCUGAGGCACGAAAGUGUGGGGAUCAACCAGG
rnacentral:rRNA from 1 species